AAACACCAUUUCACUCAGUUUGAUUAUCAUUUUGCAGUCCUGGUAUAGCAGAACUAGAGUUGAAGCUCUCUGAGUAUACCAAAAAGAUGUCAUAUCUGCAACAGAUGGUUCAGGAGCUAGCCUCAAAGUAUGACUAUAAUCCGAACGAAGACUAUGCCGAGACAGAGCUGAAGUUGAGGGAACAUUGCAAUCGUUUAUCGGAACAGUAAAAUCCUUCAAUAUGAUAUACAGUAAGGUGCAGGCCGAUCAAUUGAGGGCACGGCG